AACGAACGCUGGCGGCAGGCCUAACACAUGCAAGUCGAACGCGUCCUUCGGGACGAGUGGCAGACGGGUGAGUAACGCGUGGGAACGUACCCUUUGGUUCGGAACAACAGCGGGAAACUGCUGCUAAUACCGGAUAAGCCCUUCGGGGGAAGAUUUAUCGCCAGAGGAUCGGCCCGCGUUAGAUUAGCUUGUUGGUGAGGUAAUGGCUCACCAAGGCUACGAUCUAUAGCUGGUCUGAGAGGAUGAUCAGCCACACUGGGACUGAGACACGGCCCAGACUCUUACGGGAGGCAGCAGUGGGGAAGUCUUGGACAAUGGGCGAAAGCCUGAUCCAGCCAUGCCGCGUGAAUGAUGAAGGCCCUAGGGUUGUAAAAUUCUUUCGUACGGGGAAGAUAAUGACGGUACCCGUAGAAGAAGCUCCGGCUAACUUCGUGCCAGCAGCCGCGGUAAU
rnacentral:rRNA from 1 species